rnacentral:rRNA from 1 species
UACGAAGGGUGCAAGCGUUACUCGGAAUUACUGGGCGUAAAGCGUGCGUAGGUGGUUUGUUAAGUCUGAUGUGAAAGCCCUGGGCUCAACCUGGGAAUUGCAUUGGAUACUGGCAGGCUAGAGUGCGGUAGAGGAUGGCGGAAUUCCCGGUGUAGCAGUGAAAUGCGUAGAGAUCGGGAGGAACAUCUGUGGCGAAGGCGGCUCACUGGCCCGAUACUGACGCUGAGGCACGAAAGCGUGGGGAGCAAACAGG